rnacentral:lncRNA from 1 species
ACCCAGGGCAGGUGUGGAGUGUCUGCUGAGGUGAAGGCACUGCGGCUCCCUGGGGACACUCGUGGCCUCUCCAGGUUACUACAGAUGGGGGACAGUGGGUCCUUUGGCCUCCUUCCUUGCUUCUGUCUCCUGACCUUUCAGUCCAAAGGGGCCCCAGGGGCUGCUGGGAGGAAGGUCAGGCCCUUGUCCUACUCCACACCCUCUGCUCUGCCCCUAACCACCCGGUGGGGGGUUACAAAGGCCCCACCCUGGGUGUUCUUUCUCUUCAAUCUCCAAGGAGGAUGGUGUUGGCCAGGCCCUGGGAGGAGAAAGGCUUCGAGCUGCAGCCAGGCUGGGAUCAGAUCCCAGACACCACCCUGAGCCCGGGAAGUCUCUCCCUGGGGCCCGCUGGCUGUCCUAGCAGCCCCCUGCCAUCACGCCCAGCAACCAGCCCAGGAGCUGCAGUCUGGCCUCAGGCUGCCUGGGUUGCUGGCCCAAAUGGAAACAAUGUCAAGGCCAGCCAAGCAGGAAGCCGGGACCGCCCUUUCUGGGGAGCUGGGAGUGGGCCAGGGUCCAGCCUGGCUGGAGGCUCCUGCUAUGGGGAGAGGCCAGAGCCUUUCCGAGCCCACCUGCCUGACAGCCCUGGUGCCAGCAGGCCCUUUCUGGAUGUCACAGUGUUCUUGUCUCUAAGGUGGUGACAGCAGGAGGCUUGGGUCCUAGCCUGGCACCUGCCAGACAAGAGAAACUGGGAAAGGAGGCUAAAGGCCAAGGAGGCUGCAGACCCCGAGACCUACCCCGGUCACUGGACAAUCGCAGAGUUGAACAACAGAGAAUGUGUGCACAGUGCCAGGCACAGGUGUGGUCAAGAUUCACCUGGGAGAGGAAGCGGGCAGGGGCAGAGGAGUGUGGCCACCUGAGCUGAGAGGCUGCAUGGCAGGUGACCAUUAUUACCAGUGUCACUGGCCAGGUCACCUCUCUGAAUUUUGUGGUUGCAACUUCCAUGAUUCCCUAGAGCUG